rnacentral:lncRNA from 1 species
UAUUUAUUAUCUAGAUAAAUAAAUAAGUAUUUAAAAAUUAAAUUAAAAGAGUUAAACAUAUUUUUCAUUCUUGUUUUGAUUUGUUUCUACUGUUAUGUAAUCCAUUUUAACUGACUGAAGUUGGUGCUUAAAAAAGACAAGAGAGAGAUAAGCAUGAGCCGCGGCGGGGGAGGGGGAGAGAGAGAGUGAGAGCACGAAGAAACAAUAGGAAGGAGAGUGAUUGAGUGGGUCCACGCAAGAAGAGAGAAAAAUUAAAAUUAUUUUGACAAAUUUAAUCUGUUGAUUCAUCUUCUAUCCUAACGGGUAUUAACAAAUGUAAAAAUAAUACUAUUUUUAACGAGAUCUUAACCAUAUUAAAGUCAAUCAUUAACCAUAUUAAAGUUAAGAAUAAAUUAAAAUACAAAAAAAACACAUAUUUUUAUAUGAUAUAAUACACUGCAUUAAAAUUUAUAUUUUUUAUCUUUUAAUUUAUUCCUAACUUUAAUAUGUAAAAAUUCUUGAUUGGAACGUAUAUUUCCAAAUUAAAUUUGAGUGAAGUAUGUUUAUAAAAUUUUAGAAUUACAAAUGGCAUGUUAGCAAAUUAGUAACUACUAAUGCUCGAUGAUAAUUAACAUUUUUAUGCUAAUGAUAAACUGAGUCAAUAAGGGAGCAGAUCAUUAGCCCUUUAAAAAUACCCUUAUUUUUACAUUUGUUAAUAUAUGUUAGAUUAAAAAUGAAUCAAAAGAUUCGAUUUCUCAAAAUAAUUUAAGUUUUUUCUCACCGUGCACGGUUCGAACUUAAUCUCUCUCUCUCUCUCUCUCUCUCUCUCUCUCGUCAUUCUUAUCUCUCUCUUCUUUUUCAAGCGUUAACUUCAGCCAAGAUGGAUUACAUAACAAAACAAACAAAUAAAAAAAAAAGAAAAAAGAAAAAUCAAAACAAGAAUGAAGACAAAUAAAUAGCACCAAUUUAAUUAUGGCAUGUGCAUAAUUAAUCGAGUCUGAAAUAAAACUUACAACAGACAUCAAUUUAACCUCAUAUAAUAAAAAAUAUUUUUUUUAGAAUAACUUAUUUAUUUAUUUUGAGACACACUAAAGUUGCAACGGAUGGAAUUCCAGUAUUAAUAAGCCUCACAUUCAUGGUGAUCAUCAACAGAAAAGAGAUGAGAGAGAGAGAGAGAGAGAUAGGAACAAGGGGAGAGAGAGUACGUCAGAGUACAUGAAAGUUAAAGAAAAUAUAGAAGGGAGAGUGAUUGGAUGGGGUCCACUUGCGGAGAGAGAAAACUUAAAUUAUCUUUAAUCCAAUAAAUAUUAAUAAAUAUAAAAAGGGUAUUUUUAGAGGGUUGUUCAUAUGCCUGCGUAUAUGGUGUGUGUAGUGUGUGUAUGUGUGCACAAACAGUCUCUUUUUAAUACAAGGAUUAUUAUUUUUUUAUGCGAAUAUGUUUUUAAAUUAUGUAAUUUAAUAUAAUUAAAUUUAAAUAUUAUAAAUAAUAUAUUAAUAAAAUUAUAUUAAAUUACAAAAUUUAAGAGUAUGUCUGUAUUAAACAAAUGAGUAUGUCACUCCUGGAAUAUAUUCUAGGACACCUACCAUUAUUGAUAAAAAAUAAAGACACAGACUAACCCAACAUCAACAUAAUAAAUGAAAGGGUAGUAAGUUACUUUCACCUCCUAGAGUCAAUGCAAAAGAUCAAACAUUCAUUUCUAAUGGACACAUUUAAUUUCGACAGUAAGGUGCAUAUGCCACGAUAACUUAAAAAAAGGAAAAAUCAAUUCCAAGUUUGUUGUUAAUAAAAGAAAAGGUAAUGCUAGAUAACUCAAUAAUUGAAUCUAAUUAAUGCAAUAUUUUAUUUAGUGAAUGA